GACGAACGCUGGCGGCGUGCUUAACACAUGCAAGUCGAACGGAAAGGCCCUGCUUCUGUGGGGUGCUCGAGUGGCGAACGGGUGAGUAACACGUGAGUAACCUGCCCUUGACUUUGGGAUAACUUCAGGAAACUGGGGCUAAUACCGGAUAGGAGCUCCUGCUGCAUGGUGGGGGUUGGAAAGUUUCGGCGGUUGGGGAUGGACUCGCGGCUUAUCAGCUUGUUGGUGGGGUAGUGGCUUACCAAGGCUUUGACGGGUAGCCGGCCUGAGAGGGUGACCGGCCACAUUGGGACUGAGAUACGGCCCAGACUCCUACGGGAGGCAGCAGUGGGGAAUAUUGCACAAUGGGCGGAAGCCUGAUGCAGCAACGCCGCGUGCGGGAUGACGGCCUUCGGGUUGUAAACCGCUUUCGCCUGUGACGAAGCGUGAGUGACGGUAAUGGGUAAAGAAGCACCGGCUAACUACUUG
rnacentral:rRNA from 1 species